GUUAUGUGUCAAUAUUGAUGCAGGGAAUUAGGCACUUAUAAAUUGCUAGUGGGAAUAUAAACUGGUUCUACAUUUUUGGAGGAGAAUGUGCAGUAUCUAUCAAAACCCUUAAAUUAUGCUUUAAUUUGACCCAGCAAUACAAGUUUAGGAAUUUACAUUAAAAAAUUGUACAAAUAAUUUAAAAAUCUGUGGGGAAAGAUUCACUACAUCAUCAUUCAUAAUACUGAAAAAUUGAACAUAUUAUACACACACACAUAUAGGCUACAACCUUGCUGAAGUGACUCCAAAGACCAUCAGUGUCAGCAUCACCUGGGAGCUUUUUAGAAAUGUAGAAUCUAGGCCAGGGUGUGGUGGCUCAUGCCUGUAAUCCCAGCACUUUGGGAGGCUGAGGCAGGUGGAUCACUUGAGGUCAGGAGUUUGAGACCAGCCUGACCAACGUGGUGAAACCUCAUCUACUAAAAAUACAAAAAAAUUAGCCAGGCAUGGUGGCAGGCACCUGUAAUCCCAGCUACUUGGGAGGCUGAGGCAGGAGAAUCACUUGAACCCAGGAGGCAAGGUUGCAGUGAGCUGAGAUAGUGCCGCUGCACUCCAGCCUGGGCGACAGAGCAAGACUCGAUCUCAAAAAAAAAAAAAAAAAAAAAAAGUAGACUCUAACUCAGGCACGGUGGCCAAGUGGUAAUGUGCCUGUCUCGUAGAAAUGUAGAAUCUUAGGCUCUACCCCAGACCUGCUGCAUCAGAAUUUGUAUUUUGACAGUUCCGUAUGGCAUUUGUAUGAGCAUUAAAAUUCGAGAAACACUGGAAAGGAUAGACACCAAAAUGUUAGCACAUUGCUGGGUGGUUAUGUUCCCUAUUUUAAAUGCAUUUUCUAAUUUUCCUACCUCUGAUACGCACUUUUUUCAUAAGCAUGUGUCACAUAGAAAAACAGCAUGCUGUGGUUGCAUGUUAUCCCCUCUUCCUGGAGCCCUUCCUGGCACUUCUCAUCCAAGGUCAGUCUUCCAGGAGUCCCUCCUUAGCCCCUCCUCUUCCUUGCUCAAUUAGUCUCACAUCCAGCUGUGUUGCUGGUCCAGGAACCAUAGCACUGUGCUGAAAUUAUUAUUCGUGCUUCCUCAGCUGUUCAAAUAGUAAAAUAGGGGGAAAAUACCAAGAAAAUUAUCCAGGCUGUCGUGCAGAAAGGAAAUGAAAAUUGGCAUUAUAAUUAUGGUUUGAUUCAUCUGUCUUCACUGGACUGUGAACUUCUUGAGGGCAAGAACUGUGUCUCACUUGCCUCCCAGCUUAAGAGCCUACCCAGAGUCGGGACUCCAUCAAUGUUUGCUGAGUGGAUGCCGGCCCUGUAGUGGGAGGUCAGUCUGAUUGUCAGAAGGAAUGCCUGGCAGCUGCCAGCACCCAAUCCUCAAGAAUCUUCACUCCCAACUCCUCAGAGGCCCUUUUGCUCCCUCCCUGAGACACGCCCUAGUCUGCUCCAAGAGGGACUUCAUAUCUCACAAGGGAUCUCUGCAUCCACCACACCAAACUUCACCCUUACCAUGUAAGCUGCUUUUCUCCCAGUCCCCGACACCAACAGUAGAAAUAGUUUACGUGGAGAUUCACCAAGGAACAUUACGUUUAAAAUCAGUAAGGAGCCACUGUGCCGGGCCGAGAGUUUACUUUUGUUGAGUUGAAG
rnacentral:lncRNA from 10 species